CAGAAUAGUGGGGUAUUGCUGUGACAGACCUGACUGUGUUGUUUUGAGGAGGACUGUGGAAGGACUUUGGAGCUUUGGGCUGGAAAAGCCAUUGGCUGCUGAGAGCUCAGUGAGCCGUUCUCAGGAGUUUGGAAGAUAAGAAUCUUGAGAGAUGGAGGCCUGGCUUGUGACGUUUCAGAGGGAAACAAAGACUCUAGUUAACCUUUUGUGUGAAGCAUCAGUGGUUCUGGUCAGCUGUGAUUAAGACGAGGCCAGCAUCACUGAGGUGAAAUCUGGGAAAUGUUUCCUUGGGGUCAGCACACAGAGGCUGUGCUCCAGCGGUGGUCAAGGUUGUACCUCCUGAUGGCAGCUGAAUUUGGAAGUGUGAGAGUCACCCACCCAGGUGGUGCUGGUUUUGAAAGCAUGAAGGGGUCAUGGAGAGCGGCUGAGGCUUGUCACUGCGUGGCAGAACUGGAGUCCCUGGAGUGGAGUCCCUAGCCUGUUGGUGAAAAUGUAGCCCAGAUACAGAAGAAGACUCCACUAUUUUGGAGACGCCAGUACCAAAGAACAGCAGCAGCCUGGCAUGGAUCCAGCUGACACCUACAAUACAAGCUGUGUGUGCUGCAGAGGGCGGAGCCAGAGAAGUGACGCAAGCCCCUUGGAGGAGCCCAGAAGAUGAAACUGAGCGCCGCAUCUCUGUCCCUUCCCGCUGACCUCCGUUAUUCACCGUUAUUCCCGGCUGCUUUCUGGUGUAAGCUCACCCCAGCAUUUGGAUUCUCCAGAGCAGAGUCCAUCAAUCUCUCGUCAGCUUGCCUUUCCAAGAGAUGAAACUUCCCACAUGUCUGCAUGGCGGGCCGACACGUCCCACACGUCUGUAUUCCGGUGCCUGCAGUUUGACCAUUUUUCUUAGGACUUAUCUCUUGAGACUCCUCUUUCUUGUUGUGUAUGCAGACAUUUGUUAUUAUUAGUAAGCAUGGUCACUGGGGCUUGGAUUCUGCUCUGGUUUACAUGUCACUAUACAACAGACCUGACUGAACACCACCAGGUGCCCUGCUGGCAGGCCACAGAGAUGGCAUCUCUUAGGACGUUUGGGGUCUGGGCCAGCUCUCUAGACAAAAAUGGCUCACAUUCUUUCCCUAAGACCUCCCUAGUCACCCCAUCAUGACUGCUUCAUUCUCCUGUUCAAGGCACUGGUCCCCCAUCAAGUCCACGGGUGAGCAGUACCUGGCUAAGUAUCUGGUUCUGGACACAGCUCCUCUUGGUCUGAGACAUUUUGAGAAAAGAAAAGAGGUUAUCUUCCACCCCUUCCAGUACAGAGCUGUGACAGGAAUAGGAGACUCUCUGCAGACACCCUUAGGGAACACUGGUACCCCAGAUUCUUGAUUGGGUUCCCCUCAGCCCCCGAGAUCCUUUUCCUGCCUUUCUGUUCUGUCCCUGAGCUCAAUGGACCUCCUGGGCCAUACUACUUUCAUAGGAAAUAGCUAGAAUCUGAGCCAAGUUUGAGGUGUCCGAGACCUGUGACUUAGUGCAUCUGCUCCUUCAGUCUGCACACGGACAUCUGAGGAAAGUGUCACCCAACAACUCUGUCCUGUCUGUAGCCUUGCUGUGACCUGCUCUAGGGUCUGGACUUCAGGAUGCUGUUUUUAUAGUGCUUCUGGGAAGCAGACCUGCGGGUAUCACUAGAGAGCUGUGAACUGGAUGGCCUCCAGGCAGGGCCCUGGAUAUUUCUGGGCCAGUCUUAGUCUGGUUUUGCUGCUAUAACAAAACACCAGGAACCGGGUAGUUUACAGAGCACGUGGACACCUCCCCAGUUUGGAGGCUACAAAUCUGAGACCAAGGUAUGGCAUCUGGUGAGAGUCAGCUUGCUGUGUCCUCAGGUGGCAGAAGAUGGCGGGGAGAGAGAUAAAUACUGUGUCCUCACAUUGUGGAAAGUAGGGGGUGAAAGGGAAGAGACAUUCUAUCUGAGAUGACGGGGCUAAAGAUUGGAGGAGAGAAUACACCCCUUUUGCUGCCUUUACAGCGGUGCCAAGUCCUCUCCAGUCUAAUUCUGAGAGUCUGCCUGCAAAACCGCUGUCAGGAUUGUUUCUCCCCAAUCCUGCUAUGAUGGGGACAUGGGGGCUGUUACAGAAGCUUCCCAAUAUAACUAGGGUGUUAGUUGGCUCCAUCUUUACUACGAGUCCAUUCUGCCCAUUCGGUGGCUGGAAUCUUCAUCACACUCCACACUGAGAUGACAGCGAUGGCCAUGCCAGAAAAGGGGACUGGUCCCUCGCUGCCCUGAAGCAAGUCCCUGGCUGGCAAAGUGCCUUGGUCUGCUGACUCCUGAGUGGACUGUAUUAUAGUUCCUGGCUGCCUCUUGUCAUAUUUUCCAGGGGCGGAGAAGGUUUAUAGGAGGAAGAAAGCCAGAUUGUAGCCCCCACCUUGCUUUGAGAUUUUUGUUCCAGAAUCUCCAGUCAGUGUUUUCCAGAAAUGUCUGGCUGGCACCACUGUGGGGAAGCUGGCUGUUGAGGAAGCCAGGGAGCCGCCUUCAGUACUGAGAUGAACAGGGUGAGUCGGGCACAGCAAUAAACGUGAAGGCCUCAGCGCCUCAGUGUCGCUAAAAACAGCAGUCCAUGUGUGCAUUGGAAAGACACUCCAAAUUCAACCCCUUUGUGAUGAAGGCUCAAGAAGACAGUUGGCUCAUCUACUGGCUAGUUUGGGGUCAACUUGACACAAGCUAGAGUCAUCAGAGAGGAAGAAGCCUCAGUUGAGGAAAUGCCUCCCUGAGAUCCGGCUGUAAGGCAUCCUCUCAGUUAAUGAUCAAUGGGAGAGGGCCCAGUCCAUUGUGGGUCCAUCCCUGGUUCAGCCCAGUCUAUCCAUGGGCUGAUGGGCCUGUUUUUUCUUUAAGAAAGCAGACUGAGCAAGCCAGUAAGCAGCACCCCUCCAUGGCCUCUACAUCAGCUCCUGCCUCCAGGAUCCUGCCCCGUUAGAAUUUUUGCCCUGAUUUCUUCCAAUAACGAACAGCAAUGUGGAAGUGUAAGCUGAAUAAGCCCUUGGUCAUUGUUUCAUUGCAGCAAUAGAAACCCUAAAAUGAGACAGGUCACUUCAGCAUCAGUGAUGUGGAGCUGUCCUGCUAACCAUCUUUAUAUGCUAGUUAGCCAUGCUGGUCUGUGGUCGUGUCGCAAAUAAACGCUGAAUACGAGACAUCAGAAACAAGGAACCAUGUGACUGGGAGCCAAGGAAAGAAGCAAAUCUCUCCUUAGAGCCGGGAACCCAUCCAACCUCUCCUCCAGCAGGUUCCCCAGAAAUGAGAGUCAUUUGUGAGCAAUGCCAGAUGCUGGGUUGCAACCUGCAAACAUUCUCUAAGAUAACCUCCCAGAACUGGCCAUGUUUGGCCCGGAGGCCAUGCAAGCAUUGUAUAUUCAGAGCUGGACUCAAGGAUUCACAUACGAGGGAAAAUAAAACGGUGUUUUUCCAA